UGCGCCUGCGGCGGACCCGGCACGAGAUCACGAAAAUGCUUCGCAGGCAGCUGUUUCGUGUACGGUCUGGUACAUCCCGUAAUUUUACGGGAUUUAACAUCUUC
rnacentral:sRNA from 1 species